UACUAGAUGUCAUGUGUAUGAUUGAGUAUAAGAACUAGAAUCGUAGUCGGUUCCCAAAAGAUAAAGUAUUGUUUCCUUGUUAGAAGAUACAAAGCCAAAGACUCAUACGGAAUUCGGCUACACCAUGAAAAUAU
rnacentral:sRNA from 1 species